rnacentral:rRNA from 1 species
UGGGGAAUAUUGCACAAUGGGGGAAACCCUGAUGCAGCGACGCCGCGUGAACGAAGAAGGUAUUCGUAUCGUAAAGUUCUGUCCUAUGGGAAGAUAAUGACAGUACCAUAGAAGAAAGCUCCGGCUAAAUACGUGCCAGCAGCCGCGGUAAUACGUAUGGAGCGAGCGUUGUCCGGAAUUAUUGGGCGUAAAGGGUACGCAGGCGGUUUAAUAAGUCGAAUGUUGAAGAUCGGGGCUCAACCCCGCAAAGCAUUGGAAACUGAUAAACUUGAGUAGUGGAGAGGAAAGUGGAAUUCCUAGUGUAGUGGUGAAAUACGUAGAUAUUAGGAGGAAUACCAGUAGCGAAGGCGACUUUCUGGACACAAACUGACGCUGAGGUACGAAAGCGUGGGGAGCAAACAGG